rnacentral:rRNA from 1 species
UCGACCGCCUGGGGAGUACGGCCGCAAGGUUAAAACUCAAAUGAAUUGACGGGGGCCCGCACAAGCGGUGGAGCAUGUGGUUUAAUUCGAUGCAACGCGAAGAACCUUACCUGGUCUUGACAUCCACAGAACUUUCCAGAGAUGGAUUGGUGCCUUCGGGAACUGUGAGACAGGUGCUGCAUGGCUGUCGUCAGCUCGUGUUGUGAAAUGUUGGGUUAAGUCCCGCAACGAGCGCAACCCUUAUCCUUUGUUGCCAGCGGUCCGGCCGGGAACUCAAAGGAGACUGCCAGUGAUAAACUGGAGGAAGGUGGGGAUGACGUCAAGUCAUCAUGGCCCUUACGACCAGGGCUACACACGUGCUACAAUGGCGCAUACAAAGAGAAGCGACCUCGCGAGAGCAAGCGGACCUCAUAAAGUGCGUCGUAGUCCGGAUUGGAGUCUGCAACUCGACUCCAUGAAGUCGGAAUCGCUAGUAAUCGUGGAUCAGAAUGCCACGGUGAAUACGUUCCCGGGCCUUGUACACACCGCCCGUCACACCAUGGGAGUGGGUUGCAAAAGAAGUAGGUAGCUUAACCUUAGGGAGGGCGCUUACCACUUUGUGAUUCAUGACUGGGGUGAAGUCGUAACAAGGUAACCGUAGGGGAACCUGCGGUUGGAUCACCUCCUUACCUUAAAGAAGC